GUGCCUGCUUCAACAGCACAAAUACUAAAAUUGGCAUAAUACAGACAUUAGCAUGGCCCCUGCAUAAGGAUGUCACAUACUUGUGAAGUCCUCCACACUUUU